UAGUUUCCUUUCAGCACUGGGAGAGAGGAAGCAGGAGUUGCAACAGAUCCAGUAAGCCAUUUGAAGACCUGCAAGAAGAUAAGGUAUGGGCAGGACAUGCUAUAAGAUCAUCAGGCUUAAAGCUGACAGGUCAGAGUUCAUCAUCAGACCAGCUUCUUGGCGAUGAAGAAGUCUUUGAGUCGUUUCAUCUGCCAGAAACCAACUGACAGCAGAAUGAAGCUUCUCUCCAGCAAAGACAGCAAACCUUGUGGAGUUGGUUUGGAAGCAAAGGUAGUGCUGACCAGAGGCGUGAGCUGUGAAGUGACGCCGAGUUGAGGGUAGUGGGAAUACGCCUUCAAAUCCCAAGGCUCCAACAAGAAAUAACCUGAAGGACUCACCGGUGACUAGCAUGUCUUCAGGAAUCUCCUCGAUGAUGCAUUUUUCCUCCUGCUCUCCGAGAUCAAAAUACAUGGCUGCUGCCAACAUCAGAUCUGCAAACUCUAGGUCAGGAUUGAGGUAAUUUUCAUUGACUAGCCAAAUACUCAUGUCCUAUAGCGUGUAUUUAAAGUUGAAGGCUAUAAGGGAGACAGUUUGAGUGUGAGAAACUCACAGGUGCUGCUUUGUGUGACGAGACAUUCUGGUCGUUAUUUGACUGGUUAAACUGGGAGCCAAUAGCGAAGCUGCUAAGAAUAGUGAUUGACUGGGACUGACUACUUGCUGCAGAUACAGAUAAUCCAGCAUUGCGCUCAUAAUACACCAACGUGGAAGUAGGAGUAGCACUCUGGCACGUGCAAUAUUUAAGUAUUUCCUUGCUAUUAAACAGAAAAUAUUUAUUGCUGUAUACUUGUUUAACACCGCAGUAGACAUGUUUAACACUGCAGUAGACUUAUUUCCUUCGCAGAGCCAAGUGCCUCCUCUGCAUUUAUUACACUAAAUCCAAAGUGAAAGAUGUUGAACUGUGCCUUGAGGGAUAUAUCAAUAGCUAUCAACAAGAUGCAGGAAGUAAUUCAUCCAAGAAGGUGUUUAUCCAUUUUGGUUGUCCCCCUAGGCUGAGACAAUGUAUGAACACACUGCUGUGGUAGCGUGAUGCCACAGCAGUUUCUCUUGACAAAUUAGACAUGCACUUCUCAUCUGACCUACUGACUUAAUUUUAUUAAUAAAAUAUGGUGGUCACAUUUUAAUUUAGUAACGUAGUAACGCAGUAAGGAUUACUAGUCUGUGACUUUUACUACAGUAUGAAAGAAGGUUCAAAUGUCUUUGGAAAUUAAGUGGAAAUUGUAAUCCAAACCAUUACAUACAAUAGUUGCCAUAUGCUAACCCUAGAUGAGUUCACUUAUAAAGUAAACCCCCACUCCCACACACACACACAGAAUAAAUCCUUCUCAUAUUUACCAUCUGCAAAAGUUGUUAUUCCUCAAAGUUAGCAAAGAAUCUGUUUUCCUUCUCCUCCUACUCUUCAGUGGUUUUGCAG